rnacentral:rRNA from 1 species
UGGGGGAUAUUGCACAAUGGGCGAAAGCCUGAUGCAGCGACGCCGCGUGGGGGAUGAAGGCUUUCGGGUUGUAAACCUCUUUCGCUAUCGAACAAGGCCCGCUUAGGGUGGGUUGAGGGUAGGUGGAGAAGAAGCGCCGGCUAACUACGUGCCAGCAGCCGCGGUAAUACGUAGGGCGCGAGCGUUGUCCGGAAUUAUUGGGCGUAAAGGGCUUGUAGGCGGCUUGUUGCGCCUGCUGUGAAAACGCGGGGCUUAACUUCGCGCGUGCAGUGGGUACGGGCCGGCUUGAGUGUGGUAGGGGUGACUGGAAUUCCAGGUGUAGCGGUGGAAUGCGCAGAUAUCUGGAGGAACACCGAUGGCGAAGGCAGGUCACUGGGCCAUUACUGACGCUGAGGAGCGAAAGCAUGGGUAGCGAACAGG